ensembl:misc_RNA 7SK 7SK RNA
GAAAUGGCAACUCAGUUACAGUAUCAACCAACCCACUGAUCACCAGGUUUGAGCUGGAUGAUCUAUCUGGCUAGACAGUUGCUCCUUCCUCCCUCAGUGCUUCAUAUACACCUCACCAAAAUUGUAUGUUUUGUAGGAGAGGAUGUCCUUACUGGGAAAAGGAAGGAAGUUCUUGGAUCAAGAUUUACUGAGCAGCUUUCCUUUGCAAAAAUCUCCAGACAAGCCCUGAUGAAGCAAUGAUAAGAAAGUUAGAAGUGAACAAGAAAAAGAACCCAAACAGAGUUAGGAAGGGGGUUAGCAGGUGCUCAUGAAGAUGUUUGACUAUUCCUU